GGCAUCGCUUCUGAUGUCCAGGAAUUGAGUGUAUUGUGCGACAUCUCGAUGGAAGCUGUAGGUGCUGAAUGUGCAGAUGUUGAUCACACAUUGGAAGUUGUCGUGCCACGUUUCGCGACUUAGACAGUCUGGCAGGCCCAGAGUUCAACUGGCUGACCGAUGAUGUAAGUAAAACUUAG